UGGAGAUGCAAGGUAUUUCUACAAUUGUACUUUUUGGAACUGAUAAAUUGCAUACCCUAAGCCAUUUUUACAUUUGUACCUACUCAAAUUGGCUUAACGUGACUUACGGCAUCUAGUUUUUCACUGAAAUUGAGUAUCACCUACUGUGCCUGGGGUAACUAUAGCAAUGCAGCCGAGCAUCCAGUGAUAUAAAUGCCACAGCAAGCAUGGACGUCAAGAGUUUCAAAAAUGAUGGCUUGGAUUUUCACGAAGGAGGCGCACUCAUAACUUAUCGAGUGACACCAUUGACCAGCC
ensembl:lncRNA